AUCCCCUUUGAAAAUGGCACAAAACUUGGUAUAUUUUCUUUGUGGCAAAACUGCAAAAAUCUUUACCAGAAUUCCCCCCCCAAUAAAAAAAAGACAGACAAAGAAAAACAGAAAAAGCAGACUUGUUCAAAAAUAGCACAAGAUGGGUGAGCCUCUAUUAUUGAAGGUCUGGACAUAAUAUCCCUCCUAUAUAUAGUCACUUUCAGAAUGCUGAUGUUUUGGAUCUUGUAAACAGGGAUCGGACGGCUACAAUUAUUAUCUGGGUAACGUUUGGUUUUCAUGCAGCAUACAUAGGAACUUCGAAGAAAAUGCUUUCUCUAGACACG
rnacentral:lncRNA from 1 species